rnacentral:rRNA from 1 species
AUUGAACGCUGGCGGCAGGCCUAACACAUGCAAGUCGAGCGGAUGAAGGGAGCUUGCUCCUGGAUUCAGCGGCGGACGGGUGAGUAAUGCCUAGGAAUCUGCCUGGUAGUGGGGGAUAACGUCCGGAAACGGGCGCUAAUACCGCAUACGUCCUGAGGGAGAAAGUGGGGGAUCUUCGGACCUCACGCUAUCAGAUGAGCCUAGGUCGGAUUCGCUAGUUGGUGGGGUAAAGGCCUAUCAAGGCGACGAUCCGUAACUGGUCUGAGAGGAUGAUCAGUCACACUGGAACGGAGACACGGUCCAGACUCCUACGGGAGGCACCAGUGGGGAAUAUUGGACAAUGGGCGAAAGCCUGAUCCAGCCAUGCCGCGUGUGUGAAGAAGGUCUUCGGAUUGUAAAGCACUUUAAGUUGGGAGGAAGGGCAGUAAGUUAAUACCUUGCUGUUUUGACGUUACCAACAGAAUAAGCACCGGCUAACUUCGUG